rnacentral:lncRNA from 1 species
UUUGUCAUACUUUCUGCUCUGCUCUACUUCCCUCGCUACUUCCUCUGCUUUAAGUUGAGCUAUUUGCUCAACUAUGCUCGCUUGCAUUUAAGCGAUCUAGUCUCUUAACCUCUGAACUUCAGCUUGAGCUUAACUCCCCGAAGGCAUGUAUUGCUGCGAGCUAGAUCCAAAAUAUUGGGUUGGGUUAACACCAGAUCCUUGAAAUUGAACCCGACCAUACCUUUCAGGACCCAAAACUUCAGUAAUAAUUCCGUUAUCAAUGUCCUCAAGAUUAACAGAACUAUCACUUGAAGUAAUCCCUUCAUACUCCGCCUUUUUAUCCCUUAAUUUCUCCUAAUAAAUCAAUCAAAGAGUUU